rnacentral:lncRNA from 1 species
CUCACAAACCGGUUUGUCAGCAUGAAGGAGAACCGGAAUCUUCUUGUGAACCGGGUUUGAUUUAAGAAGCAACUCGCUCUUUGCUCCAAACGUCUCCUGGAGGAACUCGUAGGGAACAGACUUGAGGUUCAGAGCGAUCCUCGGCCUCAUCACAAAAGGACUCGCCCAUGCGCCGAUCACCUUCACUUCAUCGGUAGCCAUUUUCUCUUCAAGAUCAAGAACAGAGAGAAGGACUUGGUUAAACACGUUGAAGCUUUAGUGGUAAAUCGUAGGGCAUUAUAUGGAAGGGAAGAGGGGGUAGGUAAGGUCGUAACGUAAGGCUUUCGGAAUUUCAUGGAGGUGAAGAAGCACCAGUAAAGUUUGACAUGUGUCUUAUACGGUUGGGAAAACGUUUAAAUGUUGGUCCAUCACUUUAUUAGGGGCGAGCGUUACAUAUUCACAUUGUUAGGAUGCGUGGUGUGAACUGAAACCAUUAACACACCGACAACUGUGUUCAUCUUCACGUGUUCACAUUUGUAUUUCAUGCAUAGAUAGCUUUCUCUCAAUGGGACCAUUUAAGAUCUUUGUACUUAUAUAAUUAAGUUAAUAUAUGUCUUGUUUUGACGAGUUACGAUAUUGAUAUAUAUUGUGAAACAAGUGAAACUAUAUUUAAAGGAUAGUUACGUUACAUACAAUUAAUUAUACAAAUCUACCAUUCGAGUAAAUUCACUUAUCCAAACACACAUGUCAUAUUCUCAUUUAGUAUUGAUAAAUAAUAAUAAUCAUUUUUAGUUGCUCUGUAUAUACGUACAUUUAAUAUUUGUGUUGGCUAGUCAUGUUUUCUGUAUUUGUACUGAGUGCAUUUUUUAAAUAAUUUAGAGCAUUUCCAAAAAUGAACUUCAAAAUUUUAAAUUUGGAGUUUUGAAUAGUGAUUCAUAUUUUUAUUUAUAUUUUGGUCUUUAUAAUUAAUUGUACAUCAUAUUUAUGAUUUUUAAGUAUUUUUUCAUUUAUAUUUUUAAUCUUUAAAACUUUUGUAUAUCAUAAAUAUUUCAAAUUUAUUUUAAUAAAUUCAAAAUUUUACACAUAAAAUUAAAUAAAAAUUUUAAAAUAAGGUUUGUAAUAUUCUUAGGAGAAAGCAACACAAGUUAAUAUACUUAUGUUUCUCUUGCACCAUCAACACAGAAUCAACGAACCCCAAGUUCUACUUAAUUAGGAUCUUUUGUGUCUUUGACAUCCAUUAUUAUUAAAAAAAUGUUAAAAAAAUACAUCAUUCGUAGAGAAACAAAAUGUUAAAUAAAUUAUUUAGAAAAUCUUAUAUGAUAACUUCUUUUCAUAUUUAUUUUCUUCUUUAUAUUAUUUUGAUUAUAAAAUAUUCAUAUUAGAUGUUCUUUUUUUUUUUUUUGGAACACAAACUUUCAUUCAAACUUAAACUCCAAAAUGAGAGUUCAUUACAGCAACUGCAGAGAGCAGAGCAUUCUUUGCUACUGAAUCAGAGAUAUUGUUUUUGUCCCUAGGGAUCCAACUGAAGUAAACAGCAUCAAGAAGGGAACUUAGAACUAAGAUAUCAGCAACUAAACCAUAAAUCUCUGGUGGGGGGGUGUCCUCCAUUGACUGCUUGGAUUAAUUGUCUAGAGUCCGAUUCAAAGUGAAGUCUUCGGCGGUUCAGAGAAAAACUCAUAGUGAUAGCUUCCCGUAGAGCCAGUGCUUCUUAGUUUUCACUUUUCAGUGCUGGAUUUUAUGAGACAUCAUUUUCUUACUUCUCAAUCAACAUAAAAAAAAUUACUUCAUUCACCAAGACUGAUACUACAAACUUAACAUUCAAAAUACACUUACCAACAUACCAAAAGUAAAAUUAAAACAUAAAUAAAUAAGUACCAUCACUCUCAUUUUAUUUUUUCAAGAACUCAACCCACAGUUCCACGAGGACCACAGCCAUCAGCUUAGGCCGGCGGCUUGGCAAAGAUCUUCUUAGCGAACUCAGCUAGAGUUGCAGUCUCGGGCAUGACAGGUUUCACAGCAGGAUCAUUACAGAACCUGUCAGCCCAUUUGGACAGAGAAGGAGUCUUGACCUCAUCGAUAAGUUUAUGACCACCUGCCAACUCGGUGACUCUCAACCAAGCCAAGAAGCACCCGAAUGCAAUGUCGAGGUAACCGAUGUGUUCACCGUUGAAGAACGCUUUUCCUUUGCUGCAAUCGUUGAAGGCCUUCUCGAGAAGCGCGUUCCCUUCUUCCACUUGAGCUAACACCGCUUUCUUCUCUUCUUCUCCCUCAGCUUUUAGGAUACUUUUUAGAGAGGGAAACCACUUCAUUCGUGUUCAAUGUCAUCACAUAGAAAACAUACGCUUAUCUCAUGACAUGAAACUAUAAAUAAAACUUGUGGAUCAGGUAAAAGAGGGGGAACCUUUUCGUCAAUGUAGGCCGCCCAGAACCGAGCGAUGGCUCGAUCAUAAGGAGUGGAAGGUAGCAUGGACGGUCCAGAUGCGCUCCAAGUCUCAUCAACAUACUCAACGAUGAUGUUAGACUCACAAACCGGUUUGUCAGCAUGAAUCAGAACGGGAAUCUUCUUGUGAACCGGGUUUGAUUUAAGAAGCAACUCGCUCUUUGCUCCAAACGUCUCCUGGAGGAACUCAUAGGGAACAGACUUGAGGUUCAGAGCAAUCCUCGGCCUCAUCACAAAAGGACUCGCCCAUGCGCCGAUCACCUUCACUUCGUCGCUAGCCAUUUUCUCUUCAAGAUCAAGAACGGAGGAGGACUUGGUUUAAUGCGUUGAAGCUUUAGUGGUAGAUCGUAGGGCAUUAUAUGGAAGCGAAGAGGGGGUAGGUAAGGUCGUAACGUAAGGCUUUCGAAAUUUCAUGGAGGUGAAGAAGCACCAGUUAAAGUUUGACACGUUUCUUAAACGGUUGGGAAAACGUUGAAGUGUUGGUCCAUCACUUUAUUAGGGGCGAGCGUUACAUAUUCACAUUGUUCGGAUGCGUGGUGUGAACUUAAACACACCGACUAUUGUUUCACAUUCGCGUGUUCACAUUUGUACUUCAUGCA